rnacentral:rRNA from 1 species
AACGAACGCUGGCGGCAGGCCUAACACAUGCAAGUCGAACGCUCCGCAAGGGGAGUGGCGCACGGGUGAGUAACACGUGGGAACCUACCUUCUGGUACGGAACAACCAAGGGAAACUUUGGCUAAGACCGUAUACGACCUCCGGGUGAAAGAUUGAUCGCCGGAAGAGGGGCCCGCGCCCGAUUAGGUAGUUGGUGAGGUAACGGCUCACCAAGCCUUCGAUCGGUAGCUGGUCUGAGAGGAUGACCAGCCACACUGGGACUGAGACACGGCCCAGACUCCUACGGGAGGCAGCAGUGGGGAAUAUUGGACAAUGGGCGCAAGCCUGAUCCAGCCAUGCCGCGUGAGUGAUGAAGGCCUUCGGUUG